AUUCCUGCAUUAGUACAUAAAGAAAGGUACACCAAAUCCCACAGGGUGACAGACAAAUGAGACCCCCCAAACCCAAGAGGAGGAAGAUCUCCAGAUAACA
rnacentral:sRNA from 1 species